rnacentral:rRNA from 1 species
AACGAACGCUGGCGGCAUGCCUAACACAUGCAAGUCGAACGAGACCUUCGUGUCUAGUGGCGCACGGGUGCGUAACGCGUGGGAACCUGCCCUUAGGUUCGGAAUAACUCAUUGAAAUUUGAGCUAAUACCGGAUAAUGUCUUCGGACCAAAGAUUUAUCGCCUUUGGAUGGGCCCGCGUAGGAUUAGCUUGUUGGUGGGGUAAUGGCCUACCAAGGCGACGAUCCUUAGCUGGUCUGAGAGGAUGAUCAGCCACACUGGGACUGAGACACGGCCCAGACUCCUACGGGAGGGAGCAGUGGGGAAUAUUGGACAAUGGGCGAAAGCCUGAUCCAGCAAUGCCGCGUGAGUGAUGAAGGCCUUAGGGUUGUAAAGCUCUUUUACCCGGGAUGAUAAUGACAGUACCUGGAGAAUAAGCUCCGGCUAACUCCGUG